rnacentral:rRNA from 1 species
GUGCCAGCCGCCGCGGUAAUACGGAGGGUGCAAGCGUUACUCGGAAUCACUGGGCGUAAAGCGCGCGCAGGCGGCCUUUUAAGUUGGAUGUGAAAGCCUAUGGCUCAACCAUAGAACUGCAUCCAAAACUAUUAGGCUAGAGUGUGGGAGAGGAAGAUGGAAUUAGUUGUGUAGGGGUAAAAUCCGUAGAGAUAACUAGGAAUACCAAAAGCGAAGGCAAUCUUCUGGAACAUUACUGACGCUGAGGCGCGAAAGCGUGGGGAGCAAACAGGAUUAGAUACCCUGGUAGUCCACGCCCUAAACGAUGAAUGUUAGUCGUCGGGUAGCUAGUCUAUUCGGUGAUGCAGCUAACGCAUUAAACAUUCCGCCUGGGGAGUACGGUCGCAAGAUUAAAACUCAAAGGAAUAGACGGGGACCCGCACAAGUGGUGGAGCAUGUGGUUUAAUUCGAAGAUACGCGAAGAACCUUACCUAGCCUUGACAUAUAUUAGAACUCAGCAGAGAUGCANAGGUGCCUUCGGGAGCUUUUAUACAGGUGCUGCACGGCUGUCGUCAGCUCGUGUCGUGAGAUGUUGGGUUAAGUCCCGCAACGAGCGCNACCCUC